CCUACGGGAGGCAACAGUGAGGAAUAUUGGUCAAUGGACGAGAGUCUGAACCAGCCAAGUAGCGUGAAGGAUGACUGCCCUAUGGGUUGUAAACUUCUUUUAUAUGGGAAUAAAACGUUCCACGUGUGGGAUUUUGUAUGUACCAUAUGAAUAAGGAUCGGCUAACUCCGUGCCAGCAGCCGCGGUAAUACGGAGGAUCCGAGCGUUAUCCGGAUUUAUUGGGUUUAAAGGGAGCGUAGGUGGAUUGUUAAGUCAGUUGUGAAAGUUUGCGGCUCAACCGUAAAAUUGCAGUUGAAACUGGCAGUCUUGAGUACAGUAGAGGUGGGCGGAAUUCGUGGUGUAGCGGUGAAAUGCUUAGAUAUCACGAAGAACUCCGAUUGCGAAGGCAGUUCACUGGACUGCAACUGACACUGAGGCUCGAAAGUGUGGGUAUCAAACAGGAUUAGAUACCCUUGUAGUC
rnacentral:rRNA from 1 species